ACGACUCUCGGCAACGGAUAUCUCGGCUCUCGCAUCGAUGAAGAACGUAGCGAAAUGCGAUACUUGGUGUGAAUUGCAGAAUCCCGUGAACCAUCGAGUCUUUGAACGCAAGUUGCGCCCGAAGCCGUCAGGCUAAGGGCACGUCUGCCUGGGCGUCACG
rnacentral:rRNA from 1 species